rnacentral:lncRNA from 1 species
UUUCAUGGAUAAAUUUGACAGUAUUAACAGUUGUCAUUAACUUGAAGAGUUUAUUAGAAAAGAUAAGUUUUAACCACCUGUGAUUUUUUUUUUUCCUGGUAGAAAGCAAACCUUAUUUAUUGCAAUAACAUUUUUUUUUCUGUAGUAAGCUUAAGUUUUAUGGUUACUCAAAAGAUUUAUAAAUAUGUAAAUCUUUCACUCAGAAGAUAAUUUACUGAAAUCCUAGCCUACUGUCAAUUGGUAUUGCCAUUUCUAGGUAUAUGUCUAACAUCUGUACUUAUCCCCCACUUAAGAAAUUAUAUUAAAAUUUUACUUUCAAGAUGCGUAAAAUCUUUAGCAUAAGCAAUGCUGACAGAUGUCCUGCAGAACACCAAACGCCACUGGCGCCCACCAACCUCUGCUCUCAAAUCAUG